CGUAGCUUCAGGUAAUCAAUGUGCAGCACGUAAUGGAUAUUCAAAGGCAAGACUACACGCACAGAGUAUGCAGCAAGGACGCGCUACUACUACGGCCAAGACAGAACAGGAGCCGCCGCAUCCAGAAAUGAAGGCGAAUUGAACGCAUUCAUCGAGAGAGAUGAAUGAGCGCGCUGGUGACGCGGUGUGGGGGAACCCGCGCACCUUGAUGAGGAUAUCGCGGGAGUCCUUGGACAGCCAGCGUGGGUAGAAGGGGU